CCAUACUUCCCAGGUGGCUCGCUUCACGGCUUCCCUACGGCACCAAWCACGGUCGCACCGUGACUGACACCUAGCGAGCAUMGUUUACRGCUAGGACUACCCGGGUAUCUAAUCCGGUUCGUGCCCCUAGCUUUCGUCCCUUACCGUCGGACCCGUUCUGGURAGACGCCUUCGCCACUGGUGGUCCCMCRAGGAUYACAAGAUUUCACYCCUACCCCCAAAGUACCUCUYACCUCUCCCGGUCCCAAGCCAAACAGUAUCCCCUARMAGCYUAACAGUUGAGCUGYCAGAUUUCCCAARGGACUUACUURRCCGGCUACAGACCCUUUAGACCCAAUAAUAAYGGUUAUYACUCGGGCCGCCGGUGUUACCGCGGCGGCUGGCACCGGUCUUGCCCGGCCCUUGCUAACASAUGYUUUUUAGGCAUMUGGACAGCCAACAUUAUAUGCUGGCACUCG
rnacentral:rRNA from 1 species